UUCUGUGCCACACCUAAACCAAGUUUUUAAACCUCUCAUAGCGCUUACUAAUUGAGUUUUUAUUCCAGAAUUUUAUAACUAAAUGAUGUAUGUUUUUAAGAAGUGACACGGUUUUCACUGAACAAUAUAAGGCCAAGGUUGAGUUUUACGCGGAGAGCAUCAUGGUGAAGCACUUGACCUGAGACGGGAUGAUGUUACUGGUCGGAGUGUGUCUCUCAACCUUUUGUUCUUCCUUUCUUACCUACCAUACUGAUUGAGACGGUUUAACCCAAAGUAUGCGGUUGAUCAAGAAACCUUAGUUUGAGCUGUUGGAGAAGGCUCAAAUCAAUCAAUCAACCAAACCAUUUCACGCUGAAACCUGAAGACGUUGCUCUACUCAAAGCCCGAGAUUAACAGUGUACGAUGUUCCAACCUGUAGUAAGCCUGAGCCCGAAAUUUAAAAGAGUAUCGUUGGACAAAACUCCCGAGUUUCCUUUUUGGGGUCUUAACA